rnacentral:rRNA from 1 species
AUGUUCUUAUGGAUUGUUGGAGGCCCUCAAUCAUUUGCUCAAGCUGAGAACCGUUUUGUACGAUCACUUUGGACAGUUCAUACAAAGUUUAAGGAAGUUUUGUUAUGUUUGCGCAAGUUAGCGAAAGAUAACAUCAAACCUAGAGAUCCUACUUUUAGGCAUGAGCAUGAAAAGAUUAAGGAAGAGCGUUUCUGGCCUCAUUUCAAAGGCGCUAUUGGUGCCAUAGAUGGAUCACAUGUGCCAGUUUCAGUGCCUGCAGAUGAUGCGGUUAACCAUAGAUGUCGACAUGGUUUCACAUCUCAGAAUGUGCUUGCAGUAUGUGACUUUGACAUGAGGUUUACGUUUGUGGUUGCGGGUUGGCCGGGCUGUGCACAUGAUACAAGGGUCUUGAAUCAUGCAUUAGCACACUUCCCUUCAUUUCCUAUACCACCCAAAGGGAAAUACUAUCUUGUCGACUCUGGGUAUCCAAACCGAACGGGAUACCUUGCUCCUUUUAAGGGGAGUACAUACCAUCUGCUCGAAUUUCGUCUUCGCCGUCAUCGUCCACCUGAAGGGAAGUACGAGUUGUUUAACUUUUCACAUUCAUCCCUUCAAAAUGUUGUUGAGCGUGCUUUCGGGGUACUCAAGCAGAAAUGGCGCAUCUUGAAAGGGGUCCCAAGUUUCUCACCUCGUACACAGAAGCAUAUCAUCAUUGCUUGCAUGGCAUUGCAUAAUUUCAUUCGUGAUAGCAAGUUGAGUGACAAAGUUUUUGAUAAAUGUGAUGCCGAUGAUGAGUAUGUACCUCCAGUGCUACGAAAGGAGGUGGCACCAACACAAGCGGAUCCCGUUGAAGAAGAGGAGAACGAAGAUAGCAUGAACAAUAUUCGUAGUAGGAUAGCUGAUGCUUGUCUUGCCAUGGCAAGAUAA